rnacentral:rRNA from 1 species
GAUGGACGCUGGCGGCGUGCCUAAUACAUGCGAGUCGAGCGAACAGACGAGGAGCUUGCUCCUCUGACGUUAGCGGCGGACGGGUGAGUAACACGUGGAUAACCUACCUAUAAGACUGGGAUAACUUCGGGAAACCGGGGCUAAUACCGGAUAAUAUAUUGAACCGCAUGGUUCAAUAGUGAAAGACGGUUUUGCUGUCACUUAUAGAUGGAUCCGCGCCGCAUUAGCUAGUUGGUAAGGUAACGGCUUACCAAGGCAACGAUGCGUAGCCGACCUGAGAGGGUGAUCGGCCACACUGGAACUGAGACACGGUCCAGACUCCUACGGGAGGCAGCAGUAGGGAAUCUUCCGCAAUGGGCGAAAGCCUGACGGAGCAACGCCGCGUGAGUGAUGAAGGUCUUCGGAUCGUAAAACUCUGUUAUUAGGGAAGAACAAAUGUGUAAGUAACUAUGCACGUCUUGACGGUACCUAAUCAGAAAGCCACGGCUAACUACGUG